AUAAAAUCCAUCAAAUCACCUCCUUAGGUUCAGCCAUUUGGUUCGGAUCAAGGAACAUAAAAUUCAUCAAAUCAUGUCCUUAGGUUCGACCGUUUGGUUCGAAUCAAAGAACAUAAAAUUCACCAAAUCAUGUCCUUAGGUUCGGCCUUUUGGUUCUGAUCAAGGAACAUAUAACUCAUCAAAUCAUGUCCUUAGGUUCGGCCUUGUGGUUCGGAUCAAGGACGUACUUUUUUUGCACGUGGACAUGCCAUGUGUGGAAAAAAUCAUAAAAUAAUCUACGCAUGAGUUCCUUACAUUUGAAUUUCAUGACAUGAAAGUACAUUUCGUGCAUGGGUUCUUUCUCACGAAUUCCAUGACACGAGCCAUAAAAUGACUAAGCCAUGAGCCAAAGAAAAUACACAAUUACACAAUGUCAUGGGUUGUUCUCAUAUGAAUUCCAUGACAUAAGUCAUAAAAUAAAGGAAAUACAUAGCAUCUUAUGUCGUGGGUUCCUUCAUACGAAUUUCACGGUAUAAGUCAUAAGUUGACAAAACAAAAUAUAAAAUAUCUUAUGACAUGGAUUCUUUCAUAUGAAUUCCGUGGCAUGAGCCAUAAAAUAAUAAAAUUACGCUAUAACAUGGGUUCUCUCAUAUGAAUUCCAUGGUAUACAACAU
rnacentral:lncRNA from 1 species